GGCUCUAACGAAUUUGAAUGAGGAGUCUCAGCGCUUUCGGCGCCAUUUUCGAGUGAUGCCUGAUCUCAUCAAUCUAGCGGGAGGGAAGGGAUAACCUGUCCGAGCCUAGCGCGACGCUAGGAUCACGCCGGAAAAUCCCCCAAAAAUCAUCAAAAAAAUUAACUUAGAGCAGAGGGCAGUCGGUGGGGCUUCGCCAGAUGCGGCGCAGUCGAUUUUAACCAUUAGAAGAAUACCAGUUCUGGAAAACAACCAAAGUUUCUUUGAUUGAAUGCCCAUGUAAUGCAUUGGAAUAUGAUAGGCGAUUAAGGUUUAACAAUGUUAAAAUGAAGAUAUUACUAAAAUGGCCCUCUAAAUAGCCCAACAAUUAUUAUUUUCUUUGUCCUAUGGAUUUGGCUUUGAAAGAUGUGCUGCUCUUAAUAAGCAUUAAUUCUCUCUCUCGGGCAGAAACCUACGUGUUCCUCUUCCAGAGAGCUGGUGAAGCCAAAGGCAUUCUCAUAAUGAUGCGCUACACCGACUGACAUUUACCAACUGUGUCAAAGCUACAGGAGCCAGGUAGACACUGCUGGAACUUUAACGGGAAUCAAACAAGUCUAUAAGAAGCACUGAGCUGUGCCACUACCCAAUCAGUGUUCUUCCAGAGCACACAAACGAAAGUGGGAGGAGCCUUCCAAUGAGAACUGUUGUGUGAUUAAUCAAUGAGGCUGACUAAAGCACACACUUAUAAUCCCAAUACUCAGAAAGACAGAGGAAGAAGGAUAUCAGCGCAAGGCCAACAAGGCUUCAAAGCAAGUACCAACCCAGUAUGGACCAUGAGACCCUAUUUCAGAAACAAAUAAUAAAAGCUUGAUGAAGCUGCAAAAAUUACUCAUUUUAUCAAUCCCUAUUCUUGUAUACUGAACUAUACACAAAGGCACUUGUGUGGCCAGUGGGUGCGGUCAGAAAGGAGUACAGGCUCACGUGACUCAGCUACAAGCUGAGACAGCUGCUGCUAUUAGGAAAACAAUGGAAGCCAGCAGUAUGUAGAUUUAGGGAGCUGACAAAUCCUGAAAAUGAAUAAAAUGAGCUGGGUACUUCCAGAAACACGAUACUUCUUGACCAUGAAAAGGAAAAAGGCUGGGUUUUUAUGUUAAAAUUUGAAUUUUUGCAAAAUGUACUUAUAAUCUUCCCAUUAAAGAUGCUGAUAAAUAGUAAAGUUAACAAAUGUGAGGGUUAUUGGGGAAUUAUAUAAUGAAAUAUGUCAAUGUUUGGAGGUCUCUGUAAUAAUGUUAUAAAUCAUAGAAGACUUGUUUAAAAUAUAAGAAAGGGUUGGAGUGUGGCUCAGUGGGAGAGCACUUGCCAAGACCCUGAGUUCAAUUCCCAAUACUGCAGAAAUAAAAAAUAAGUAUGAUC
rnacentral:lncRNA from 1 species